rnacentral:tRNA from 1 species
GGCCGAGUAGCAAAGCGGUUAUGCACGUGAUUGCAAAUCACUGUAGGUCGGUUCGACUCCGGCCUCGGCCUCCA